AUUUGUAAAGGCUAGGUUUUCGAAAACUAUACAAAGUUAAGUUGAAAAGAACCCAGCUAAUUCUCCUGUUACUCAGAAGACUAAACUGCCUAAGGGAAGGAGAGUGACCUAAGACACUGAUCUAAACUGAAUGUACAUGGCUAAUGGUUUGGAUAGACAGAUUUUUUUAAGUGGGCAAAAGUGGAGGUUGUGUUGACUGGAAGCUUUGGGGAACAGUGAUACGGAUGAAUUUCCCAGAAUGGUCCCAGAGUAUGAGAAUAAUAUCCCACGUGAAUGCUAACCUAAAUUCCCACUCUUCAGAGGAGGCUAUCAACAAUCAGGUACACAUCAACCAUAUGGCUGUCAUGUAGUCUCUUUUCCUAUCACCCCACUUAUUGCCCAAGUGAUUUACUUGUAAACUGUGACCAGGGUGGUAGGCAAUGAUAGAGGUGAUACUUGAGUUCUGUAGUAUAGACUUAGCUCACCAAGGCUGACCUCUGGAUACUGCUGCUGCUAAGUGUCCCAUAUGUCAGGGGAAGUAUUCUUGUAUUCUUGCAAGUAUUUUGUCAUGGAUGAGGCAGAGAUUUGUCUUCACUGAGAUAAACACUCUAGAUUUCGAUAUGCUUCACUUUCUUACAUGCUAUUGCUAGCAGGACCAUCUGUGAACUUACUGAACGCUUUAUACCUCAUAUCUCAACAUUUUUUGGACCCAUUUCUAUACAUUAUACAGAAAGGGUAAGGUAAUGCAUGGGUGACCAUGAGACUCGGUAGUCCUAAUGUGUACCACAUUCCUUAUAAGCAGAAGUCUGAAUUUUUGGAAGACUCAGUUAAAGUGGCAUGUAGUCAUUUAGCACCCUCUUGAAGUACUGUUCAAUUUUGGACGUUAUAGAUGAGCUGAAUAGUGACUAAGAAAAAGCAUAAUUUCUUCUGUAGACAAAAUGCAUUCGUUAAAGAAAGGAGAGGUAGGAAUGGAGUGGUACCUCUCAUAUUACACUUAAUAAUAGCCAACUCAAAAAAGUUAUGCUUUUCAUGUUUCCAACUCAGGGCUCCCUGCUGUUUUUUUUUGUUUUAGAAAAGGAGGAGUACAUACUCCCACCAGUAGUCAUGGAGAUGCCUCUGUUUAUUGAUUUACCAAAAA
rnacentral:lncRNA from 1 species